rnacentral:rRNA from 1 species
UACAGAGGGUGCAAGCGUUAAUCGGAGUUACUGGGCGUAAAGCGUGCGUAGACGGUUGCGUAAGUCAGAUGUGAAAGCCCCGGGCUCAACCUGGGAAUUGCAUUUGAGACUGCGUAGCUAGGGUGCGGAAGAGGGAAGCGGAAUUUCCGGUGUAGCGGUGAAAUGCGUAGAUAUCGGAAGGAACACCAGUGGCGAAAGCGGCUUCCUGGUCCAGCACCGACGUUCAGGCACGAAAGCGUGGGGAGCAAACAGG